rnacentral:rRNA from 1 species
CCUACGGGUGGCAGCAGUGAGGAAUAUUGGUCAAUGGUCGGGAGACUGAACCAGCCAAGCCGCGUGAGGGAUGAAGGUACAGAGUAUCGUAAACCUCUUUUGUCAGGGAACAAAGGCGGGGACGCGUCCCCGGAUGAGUGUACCUGAUGAAAAAGCAUCGGCUAACUCCUUGCCAGCAGCCGCGGUAAUCCGGGGGAUGCGAGCGUUAUCCGGCUUUAUUGGGUUUAAGGGGUGCGCAGGCGGUCUGUUAAGUCAGUGGUAAAAGCCAGGGGCUCAACCCCGGCCCGCCGUUGAAACUGGCAGUCUCGAGUUGGAGAGAAGUAUGCGGAAUGCGCGGUGUAGCGGUGAAAUGCAUAGAUAUCGCGCAGAACUCCGAUUGCGAAGGCAGCAUGCCGGCUCCACACUGACGCUGAGGCACGAAAGCGUGGGUAUCGAACAGGAUUAGAUACCCGUGUAGUC